AUGACUUCAUUUACAGGUAAACUCCAUCCAAGCUCCUACGAGAGCCGGACUUCAUCCCUGACCUUGAUUGCAGGUGGACUUCGAUCGUACUCCUACGAGAGCCAGAUCUCAUCUCCGGCUCCAGCUACAGGCAGGCCUCGUCCGGACUUCUACGGGAGCUGGACUUCAUCCCUGACUUUAAUCGCAAGUAGACUUUGCCCGGACUCCUACGGGAGCCGGGCUCUGCCC
rnacentral:lncRNA from 1 species